rnacentral:lncRNA from 1 species
GAGAAAUUAGAACACUAACACAGGCGAACAUCAUCACACAAGAGAAUCAACAAGACUAGAACACAUAGGUUUAUCUAACAUGUACAGAGAGAAGAAUCAUGGAUAUAGGACAGACUUGAUAUAACUCACAUUACAAACACACACAUAUGUAUAUAUAUCACAGGACACCACACACAUAUGAAGAAUACUGUUUCACUAAACAAAGUAUGACAGGUCAAAUAUUUAUCAAAGUGACAAGGUAUCAACUAGUCAGGACAAAGGACAUACUAAUCAAGCAUUUAUAUUAAACUUCAAAACUGAACCAAAUAGUAGGAUAUUACACUUAUCAAAUCUGAACAUUACAUAGUACUGAUUAUUACACUUCUGAAGGUCACAGAAAUUUGAGAGAGAGAGAGAGAGAGAGAGGGAACAGCAGCAAGAUUGGGAAUGGAGCAGUAGCAGGGACGUGAGGAGAAGCAGCAGCAGGAGGUUGAGAAAAGAAGUAGCAGCAGGUUGGGGCAAGGGAAGGUGAAGAGCAGCAGCAGGUUCAGUAAAAGGAGAGGACCAGCGAGAUGCACGGAGAAGAAAGAAGCAGAGAUGAGGUGGCAGCAGUUCAGCAGGGGAUUCAGAGGAGGAGCAGCAACAAGGGGCGCAAGAAGAAGCAGCAGCAGGUCAUGUUGAGGAAGAAGCAGGAGGUUCGUGGGGAAGAAGAAGAAGCAAGAGCAGCAGAGUUAAGGGAAGAGAAGAAGAGAAGCAGCGGAGCAGCAGCAGUUUCGUGCAGAUGAGGGUUUCAGCAGGGAGGCGCAAAUGGAUGGUGAUGUAUGGGUGGUGCUGGUGACGCGGUGGUGCUGAUGGCACGCCGCCACGCCGGCCUGGCCGCGGCGGCGGCCGGAGGUGGAGAAGGAGGGGUGAGGGAGAGAGAUGUGUGCCAGGCUCCAUUGGAUCCCUCCAGCGCCUAGGGAUUUUGUUCCCCUCCUCUCAUCUGCACUUUGUGAUUCAGCCCUCUUACUUCUCUUCUUUCUUCACAAGAAGAUCCCUCCAACUUUAGCUUGGCCCCUCUCGUUACAUCUUUUCUUCACGGCGGGUCCAUUCUUCCUCCUCUUCUUCGUUCUCUUAGCCACUUAGUCUGGAUCUUGAAGAUUUAUAGUGCCUUUGCGCACAUUUCUGCAAAAUAGACCAAAGACUAGUAAAUGAUCCUUUAAUAUGAUUUUCAUGCAAAUAUUCAAUAUUUCACAGCAAUAAUUGAUGGACAUAUCUCAAUAAACCGCAUAUUUGAGUGCCAAAAGAUGUAUAGGAAAUGUGCUUAUCAAGUUCCCCCACACUUAAAUCUUUACUUGUCCUCAAGUAAAGGCAUAUGACAAGAGCAGGAUAGUGAAUAGUGAGCUGACUAGAGAAUGCCAAGUGAAGUAGAUCUCUAAACAAUGCAUGCUUCAAACUUAGUUAAUGGAAAUUAAUGGUAGAGUGCUACAAAGCAGUAGGAUAUUAGUAGACUUGACCAUUUUAAACUUUUACAAUGAUAAAAGAAGAUUAGCAAGUUCAAAUGUUGAUUGUGCCAAAAGGUUCCUAAAGAGAGCAUGAUCCCAAAAACAAAAAGAAGUUAAACUUGUGAUCAGAUCACUUAUUACCAGGAACAAAAAAUUGCAGUUGAAAGCACUUAUUGUAUUUGAAGAAAGUAAUGAUAAUGUUUUUUCGAUCUCACCAAAGGAAAAUACCACCGAUCCCGAGAACAUGAUAUACACCUGGCUCGACCAAUUAUUAGUUAGUUUUUUUGUUUGUCUCCCCAAAGGAACAUACCACCGAUCCAGAGAACAUGGUAUACACCUGGUUCGACAAUUACAAUUUUAUUAGUAAUUACUGCCCGAGCUAACCCGAUUUCACAUGCCACCGAUAGUCAGAAUUAUUUAUUCAUUAUAAGAUAUACUUUUAUUUUUAUUUUUCAAAUGAACAAAAACAAGAAUCAUCACUCAUCCAUGUCUAGUUCACAUGCUACCAAUCCAGAGAACAUAGCAUGCUAAUCCAUAGUGGUAAGUGAUUGCUCUAAAUGGGAACACAUUUGGCACAAAAUCAGCAUCUAAACAUGGUGAUCUAGGUGUAUCAAUGUAAAUGCAGAAAAUGAUGGAAGUUUUCUAGUGUACUAGGGCUUUGAGCACUCAAAACUAAUAACUUCCACUAAUUUCAGCAAAGCAAGCAAUAUGUAGGUCACUAGUUUACAAGGCAUUCAACAAUCAGUUCUCAUGUUCACAUCAAGCACAAUAUGUCAAAUAAAAUUCAGUGGGACAUCAUUUAAGAAAUGGCUCAAGCAACUCAAAUAUCGAAUGAUUUCAGCAUUAUCAACGGAUGAUAUAUUCAGAUUGGGGUCAUGAAACAGCUCACCGGGCUUUGAUGGUGUAGCACUCGCUCGAUCAUCUCUAAGCUACUCCUCUUCUCCU